rfam:Cavia porcellus supercont2_26 genomic scaffold, whole genome shotgun sequence.
GGGGGUUUAGCUUAGUGGUAUAAGCACCUGCCUUGCAAGCAGGUGGUCGUGAGUUCGAGCUCCGGUACCAAUCA